GGCAUUUCUGUGACGGCUCCAUCAGCGGCCACAGGCUGCAUUCCGGUCAAACGGCCGAAUAAGUGGCCGGCGGCCGCAGCGGUCCCCCGCGAGCGGCGGGCAAAACGGGGGACGGCGACGUCAGAUCGCUCCGCUGUGUAACUUUUACACCCAUCAUCUCCCGUUCGGACCCUCAGAUCCACUGACCAGCUGCUUCUUGAGGUUCCAGGCUCAAAAGCAGAGAAGGAUGUGUUCCCCCCUCAUCCUGCUCAUCUGCGUCUUCGUCGGCCCUAUUGCGCAUUCCCAGAGAAGUGGGUGCGGGAGUGUUUACCGACGGCGGCGCUGACAUCACCGCUGCAGAUGGCGGAGCGUGGAUUUGUGUGCUCCGCUAAUAAGACCAGGUGUUUCCACCACCAGAGACAUUUUCAACAGGCGUGCAAAUGAAAUGCAAACCCAUUUAACUGUUAAAUACAUGCAAGGUAGGCAGCGAGCCCGGCAUCUGGGAUGCUUUUAAAUCCCCACACUUAUGCAUUCAUUAAGGUAUUUUCCAAACAUACACACCCUAUUUCUGAGUUGCUGACUAAUUGUUUAGCCAGUAAAGCACUGACGAGAGCUACAGAGCAAACUGUGACAAAUGCGUUUCUCCCCCCGGGGGGGGGGGGGGAGCACACUCUGUCUACAUAUUGAAUAAUGAAGGGCAACAGGAAUCCUGAUUUAUAAGUCGAGUUAAUGGCGGACUGGUUUCAUGGCUGUACAUUAUCACAUAAUAUAAACGGGACAACCCGCUGCUGUCACCGUGGCAUUGUGUCAAUAUAUUGUACAUUAUCCAUCAGUGUAGUGCCAAUAAAAUUCAAAUGUUGUUUUCACACGUUUAACCUCGUGACGAGCCCAUUUGCAGCUCUCAGGUUGUUCGGUCGCGUAAUGGAAGCCUCCCGUCACGUUCGCAGUGAAAGACACAGCGUCCACAUCAUGAUUUACUACUGUCGCAUGGUAAAAACUAGGCGAGCCUUACAGUGGACAACAGGUGAAAGUGAACAGCAGCCAUCAGGAGCAAAGGCCUCUUAUUGCAGGUACAGAAAUUAUAUUCUAAAUAAAUAAAUAA